AGUGAACGCUGGCGGUAGGCCUAACACAUGCAAGUCGAACGGCAGCACAGUAAGAGCUUGCUCUUACGGGUGGCGAGUGGCGGACGGGUGAGGAAAACAUCGGAACCUACUUUUUCGUGGGGGUUAACGUAGGGAAACUUACGCCAAUACCGCAUACGACCUACGGGGGAAAGCAGGGGAUCUUCGGACCUUGCGCGAUUGAAUGAGCCGAUGUCGGAUUAGCUAGUUGGCGGGGUAAAGGCCCACCAAGGCGCCGAUCCGUAGCUGGUCUGAGAGGAUGAUCAGCCACACUGGAACUGAGACACGGUCCAGACUCCUACGGGAGGCAGCAGUGGGGAAUAUUGGACAAUGGGCGCAAGCCUGAUCCAGCCAUACCGCGUGGGUGAAGAAGGCCUUCGGGUUGUAAAGCCCUUUUGUUGGGAAAGAAAAGCAGCAGGUUAAUACCCCGCUGUUCUGACGGUACCCAAAGAAUAAGCACCGGCUAACUUCGUG
rnacentral:rRNA from 1 species